rnacentral:rRNA from 1 species
AACGAACGCUGGCGGCGUGCCUAAUACAUGCAAGUCGAGCGAGAAAGCCUCUUCGGAGGUGAGUAAAGCGGCGCACGGGUGAGUAACACGUGGGCAACCUACCCUUGAGUCUGGGAUAACCCGGGGAAACUCGGGCUAAUACCAGAUACGGCUGCGGGGUCUUCGGAUCCUGUGGAGAAAGAUGGCCUCUUCUUGAAAGCUAUCUCUCGAGGAUGGGCCCGCGUCCUAUUAGCAGUUGGUGAGGUAACGGCUCACCAAGGCAAAGAUGGGUAGCUGGUCUGAGAGGAUGGCCAGCCACACUGGAACUGAGACACGGUCCAGACUCCUACGGGAGGCAGCAGUGAGGAAUAUUGCGCAAAU